GACGAACGCUGGCGGCGUGCCUAAUACAUGCAAGUUGAGCGAUGAAGAUUGGUGCUUGCACCAAUUUGAAGAGCAGCGAACGGGUGAGUAACGCGUGGGGAAUCUGCCUUUGAGCGGGGGACAACAUUUGGAAACGAAUGCUAAUACCGCAUAACAACUUUAAAAAUAAUUUUUAAUUUUGAAAGAGGCAAUUGCAUCACCCAAAGAUGAUCCCGCGUUGUAUUAGCUAGUUGGUGAGUUAAAGGCCCACCAAGGCGAUGAUACAUAGCCGACCUGAGAGGGUGAUCGGCCACAUUGGGACUGAGACACGGCCCAAACUCCUACGGGAGGCAGCAGUAGGGAAUCUUCGGCAAUGGACGAAAGUCUGACCGAGCAACGCCGCGUGAGUGAAGAAGGUUUUCGGAUCGUAAAACUCUGUUGGUAGAGAAGAACGUUGGUGAGAGUGGAAAGCUCAUCAAGUGACGGUAACUACCCAGAAAGGGACGGCUAACUACGUG
rnacentral:rRNA from 1 species